AGCGGCGUAGGGCAGCCUGGUAGCCCGCGGGGCUCAUAACCCCGAGGUCCCUGGUUCAAGUCCAGGCGCCGCUA
rnacentral:tRNA from 5 species